rnacentral:snRNA from 1 species
CUGCUUACCUGGCAGGGGAGAUACCAUGAUCAUGAAGGUGGAUUUCCCAGGGCGAGGCUUAUCCAUUGCACCCCUACGAUUUUCCCAAGCAUGGGAAACUUGACUGCAUAAUUUGUGGGGACUGCAUUCUCACUCUCCCCUG